UAGCUUGAAGAGUAGCGCCUGCCUUGUAAACAGUAGGUCGCGGGUUCGAUUCCCGC
rfam:Asian citrus Psyllid, Diaphorina citri - Florida Strain, whole genome shotgun sequence.